AUAAACACCACCAACUUCACAGCCUCAGAGCACUUGGGACAAAUGUGGGUUUCAUCAGAGUCAACAGCAGAGCUCUUUUUGGCCUCAUUCAGUAACUCCUGCGUGCGAUAGGGAUUAUCCCUGAUCUACAGAUGCCGAAACCGAGUCAUAGAGGGGCUAACAGACACAGCAUAAUUGCUACGCCACAUCCCUUGGAAAAUAUUCUUCCACCCGGCAAACAACCCAGGGUGUUGCACACAAACACACCAAACACGGCAGCAGCUUCUCUGCAGGGCAUCCACGGCCGUCCUCGACUUAAGAUGUGGCGAGCUCCAACGACCGGGCGGCACCUACGAGGUUUAUAAAUUGACGCCCUGUUUCGACUUCCUGACCUGUUUCGACUCGAUCCGACGCCACGCCACGAACACGGUCGCUGCGUCGCCCGUCUCCCCGGACAACACCUACCCCAACCGCCUCGGACGCUUUCUUUAAGAAAGCGGCCGAGACUCCAGCGGACAACAAGCCCA